CCUACGGGAGGCAGCAGUGGGGAAUAUUGCACAAUGGGCGAAAGCCUGAUGCAGCAACGCCGCGUGAGCGAUGAAGGCCUUCGGGUCGUAAAGCUCUGUCCUCAAGGAAGAUAAUGACGGUACUUGAGAAGGAAGCCCCGGCUAACUACGUGCCAGCAGCCGCGGUAAUACGUAGGGGGCUAGCGGUAUCCGGAAUUACUGGGCGUAAGGGGUGCGUAGGUGGUUUCUUAAGUCAGAGUGGAAAGGCUACGGCUCAACCGUAGUAAGCCUUUGAAACUGGGGAACUUGAGUGCAGGAGAGGAGAGUGGAAUUCCUGGUGUAGCGGUGAAAUGCGUAGAUAUUAGGAGGAACACCAGUGGCGAAGGCGGCUCUCUGGACUGUAACUGACACUGAGGCGCGAAAGCGUGGGGAGCAAACAGGAUUAGAUACCCGAGUAGUC
rnacentral:rRNA from 1 species